GUGGACAAACUACGCUAUGGACGGGGACAACCUCGGGAAACUGACGCUAAUCCCACGAUACAGGACCCAUGUUGGAACGCAGAAUACUCUAAACGCACUGGCACCAUAGGAUGCGGCUGCAGCCGAUUAGGUAGAUGGUGGGGUAACGGCCCACCAUGCCAAUAAUCGGUACGGGUCAUGAGAGCGAGAACCCGGAGACGGUAUCUGAGACAAGAUACCGGGCCCUACGGGGCGCAGCAGGCGCGAAACCUUUACACUGCACGACAGUGCGAUAAGGGGACUCCAAGUGCGAGGGCAUAUAGCCCUCGCUUUUCUGUACCGUAAGGAAGUACAGGAACAAGUGCUGGGCAAGACCGGUGCCAGCCGCCGCGGUAAUACCGGCAGCACGAGUGAUGGCCGAUAUUAUUGGGCCUAAAGCGUCCGUAGCCGGCCGAACAAGUCCGUUGGGAAAUCGACGCGCUCAACGCGUCGGCGUCCAGCGGAAACUGUUCGGCUUGGGGCCGGAAGACCUGAGGGGUACGUCCGGGGUAGGAGUGAAAUCCUGUAAUCCUGGACGGACCACCAAUGGGGAAACCACCUCAGGAGAACCGGACCCGACGGUGAGGGACGAAAGCUAGGGUCUCGAACCGGAUUAGAUACCCGGGUA
rnacentral:rRNA from 1 species